rnacentral:rRNA from 1 species
GACCAUCUCCUAAGGCUAAAUACUCUCUAGUGACCGAUAGUGAACCAGUACCGUGAGGGAAAGGUGAAAAGCACCCCGGAAGGGGAGUGAAAUAGAACCUGAAACCGUGUGCUUACAAGUAGUCAGAGCCCGUUAAUGGGUGAUGGCGUGCCUUUUGUAGAAUGAACCGGCGAGUUACGAUUUGAUGCAAGGUUAAGCAGUAAAUGUGGAGCCGUAGCGAAAGCGAGUCUGAAUAGGGCGUUUAGUAUUUGGUCGUAGACCCGAAACCAGGUGAUCUACCCUUGGUCAGGUUGAAGUUCAGGUAACACUGAAUGGAGGACCGAACCGACUUACGUUGAAAAGUGAGCGGAUGAACUGAGGGUAGCGGAGAAAUUCCAAUCGAACCUGGAGAUAGCUGGUUCUCUCCGAAAUAGCUUUAGGGCUAGCCUCAAGUGAUGAUUAUUGGAGGUAG